AGAGAGAAGGUGACAUUAAAACGGAAAGCAUGUCCUGUAGGCUUAUGAAAUCAAGAUAGUAUUGUAGAAAAUAGAACAAGAAUAGCAACUGAUUAUACCCUAAUAUUGUAAACUAACUAGGAUGCCAGUUUAACAAAUGUUGUUUAAUAUGAAAUUUCUAAGGACCAGAGCAUGCAUAGCAUUGAAACAUGUCUUUGUGAUAAAGCCAUUUAGAAUUUUUUGUUGAACAUAAAUAUCUUGCAAUUCAAUUCAACCUGAGAAAUAUUUGUUUUUUGUCCAUGAACUGCUGAGGUUUUUUAUUUGGCUAUCUGGAAUUAAAGGGCCAACUAGUAAAGUGUUUUAAGUCACCAGAACUCUGCCAGUUUUCACAAAGUUGUAGUAGUCAAGGGUACAGCUUAAAAUGUCUUGUCUCAGACCACGUCUCACUCUCCUCAGCAAACUUCAAAUGAAGUUAUGAAAGAGUCUUCCUUUGUGGUAGUACUUUUCAUAGAAUCUGUUUUAGGGGAGGAGGAAGCAUAUUGAACUUUUACUUGUUCUGGCUUUUCUCUGGCAUACACAAAAUCUCACACCUGAGAUGUUCUGUAUCCAAACUAACAGUGUGAACCACAAGUUAUUCUCAAAGCAACUUUUACUGGUUAUAUACACUAUGAACACCUCAUUUUAACUUCUAGAAACUAUGCAUCUUGACUGCGAAGCUCUGCUGAGUGUCUGAGUCUAAUGUUGUCCCAGCCACAACUUGCAGCCAGACAUACCAUAUGUAAGAGUACUGUGUAUUUGGACCUUAUCUAGACAUACAGACCUGGAAGAAGAACAUCAGUUUGUGCUGUUUCCAUCACUCAUCACACUGCUGGAACUGCUCCAUUCACUGAGACACAGUUUACAAAAAGAAGAGCACCAAAAUAUACAACAGAGAGCAAGGGAGAUGUAGGAGUACAGCAGCCAACAUUUAGGAUUUGAAACUGCUUAUGAUUCAGGGAAAAUUCUUACCUGCACAACUAUAGAAGUGAUUAAGAAAAGUAUCCUGUUCUGGGAGAAGACCAAAGAAAGCCUCAUUGGAAGAUACAACUGCAUUUCAUAAGUUUCAUAUAUCUCAUAUGUCUUCAUAUAUCUCGGUAAACCUGUACCUCUAUAAAGGCUUUGUGCCACUAUGUCAGGUGGCUGGUGACUAAAUAGUCAUUUGGGGAUUAUACAUAGCUUCUGAACACAUUGGCACUUAGGGAUAUGUUUGGAAAGUAAUCCUACUUUCUGAUUUUUUGCUGUUCGUGGGAUAAAAAGUAGGUAAAAGUGUAGCCUUUUCUGAUUGCUAU
rnacentral:lncRNA from 1 species